rnacentral:rRNA from 1 species
UACAGAGGGGGCAAGCGUUAUUCGGAAUUAUUGGGCGUAAAGGGCGCGUAGGCGGCCAUGCGAGUCUUGCGUGAAAUCCCUCGGCUUAACUGAGGAAGUGCGGCAGAAACUGCAAGGCUCGAGUCCGGAAGAGGCGAGUGGAAUUCCCGGUGUAGCGGUGAAAUGCGCAGAUAUCGGGAGGAACACCAAUGGCGAAGGCAGCUCGCUGGGACGGGACUGACGCUGAGACGCGAAAGCGUGGGGAGCAAACAGG